UACUGGAGAAUAUAUAUUCCAUCAAAAUCAGGAAGAAACCCAAGAAAGAUGGCAUGGAAUCCAGCAAAGAAGGGAUCCGAUAUAGGAGAAAAACUAAGAGAAUCUCAAAAUGGUGAAGCAAAGUCACAGUAACAUAUGGAGAAGGCCUAGAAGGCAACAAAUCCAGACAGGAAUGUGACAGAGAAUCCAAGAUAGUUAUUUCUGAGGGAUUUUACAAAGGCACUGGAAGAUGUAAGAAAUUAAGCUUUAGGAAUGGCCUUCAUUGGUUGCAAUAGGAAGCGAAAGAGGAGACCUGAAAUCAAAUGAAAAAGCGUAAGUAUCCUGGGGAGAAGCCCACUGGAUCUCAGUUCUGCCCUGCUCAGGGAAGUUCAGUAUCCAGGUGACUGAGAACAGAACCGGCUGGCACCAAAGACAUGAUUUUGAGGGGGCCGGAGCCCUUUCCCUUUGCCUCCAUACAUAACAGGAGCAGGACCACACACUCAGUCCCUG
rnacentral:lncRNA from 1 species